rnacentral:lncRNA from 1 species
GUUUAAUAAAAAAAAGAGUAAAUUACAGUGUGCUGUGGAAGGCUGGAGCUUGCUGCUGGGAAGCUGAUGCCAGAAGAGGCUGUGGAUUUGAGGAUGAGGGCUCUUUAAAGGCAGAGAGAUUACGGCUGGGGGUUCCGGGGGCUGGGGUGCAGACAACCCAGAGCCACUUACUGGGCACCCUCACGCGAGGUGCUCUCUGGGAGGAGUGCCAAACCCCAGACACCAGUGUCAAGAGGUGAGCUGCCAGCUGUCUGAAUAUGGUGAUUCUGAGACACAGGCAGUUACAUGCUGUCACUUGCCGACAGCAUCCAAGGCUCAUUAUUUCUAGGCCUUCCUGGGGUAUGUUUUAGAUUGACACCCUGGGUGGACCUGGGGUGCUUGCUUGGCUAUGGCCCUGGCCUGGCACCUUGGGUUCUUCCAUCCUGUGUCUCCUCCCUAUCCCCUGCCCAAGGGAGCCAGGGCCUGUUAAUGCUCUCCCCUAGUCUGCUAAUCUGACGGGAAAUCAAAGGGCUCUGCCGCAUCCUCCUCCCCUGGUCACUGGGCUCUUUCCAGUCCCCUAGCGAGUGCUGCCAGGCUCUCUUCACUUCCUCCUGCGGUUGGUAACCUUCAGUUCAUCCAGCUCUUUGUCCUUUAGGUGGGACUCAGCAGUGGUUUCUGAAAGCUGGAAGUAAGAGCAUUGGAUUGUUACAAAGAAAGCUACGGCCAGGCCCCGCUGCAGACGUGCGCAGCGGCUGUGCACCAAGGAAAACUACCAGUCCUCACCCAGCUAAGCCUUGGCAGACAGAGGGAUUGCUCCUCCUCGUGCCUCUAGCACAUCUACACAGCUGCAUGGCAUACCAUGUGUGAAGGACAGAAACACACACGCUGGGUCCAAGAGGAAGGUGCUACUCUGAUGCCAGUUGUCUUGCUGGAGUGAUGAGGUCACAGAGUGGGUAGCCGGUGGGGCAAAGAAGCUGCCCACCAGCUCCCUCACGCCUGUCCCCCCCUGCACACGCACUGCCAGGCCCAGCAGACACAGGAGACCGACAUU